CAGGAUGCAGGACCCAGACAAACCCCUCGUGGAGCAGGAAAUCAUCCACUGCUUGCUCCCACUGCUGCUGCAUCUUGAAGACCAGGAUGAGAUUGUGACUCUGUGAUGUAAACUGACGCUCUUCCGCUGCGCAGUCUUUCUCAGCUGGGCUCAUUUGAAGAGGCUGUUCCGCAGCAUGGCCUGGGAUGGCUACUCACAGCUCUCGAAGUGUGUCUGGAACGUCUUGAUGCAGAACAACAAGAGCCACAUCCCCAAAUUCCUGUUCCAGGCCCUAGAGUAGCUGGAAAGCUCACAGACAACAAUAAGACAUUCUGCAGCCUUGUUCAUUGGAAAGACUAUCUGCCAUUAC